GGACGACAGCCAGCUGCCACUACAGUUCGGUGGCACUGCACAGGGAACACGGACUUAAUCUUUCCCAGUUACACUGCAGGCUCCCUGUCUUGUGGCCAUGGACGCGGAGCCUUCCAGAGGCUCUCCUGGCCAAAAGUCAUCAUGGCCGUCUUUCGCGAGGAAGAAGCUUGCUCAACGACACCGAAAACAGUGCGGUGUACUCCAUGGAUGACAUCGGAUGACAGCUUCAUCUCUCUCCAAGGAAAGAGGGCCAAAAUGAGGAAUGUCAACGCGAAUGCAUCAACGCAAGCGAACACGGCGACUCAGAAGGCCUGAACGCUUGCCUCACGCCAUUGUCUUCGUGCCCGAGGAAUCCUCACGCAACCUCCGAUUGUUGAACAGGACUUACCCUGUGCCUAGAAAAUGGCUGACAUCCAAAACAGCUCUCCCAUAUAGGCCGGCGUGAAGAAGAAGGCCGCCAUGCCUGGCCUAAGGUGCUCCGGAAAAGGUUCAAGCAUAGUCCUCAUCUUGACUGCGAAAAGGGUGAUGGACGAACCGGAACA